GAAAUGCGAUAAGUAGUGUGAAUUGCAGAAUUCAGUGAAUCAUCGAAUCUUUGAACGCACAUUGCGCCCUUUGGUAUUCCUUAGGGCAUGCCUGUUCGAGCGUCGUCUAAACCUUCAAGCCCUGCUUGGUGUUGGGUGCCUGUCCCGCCUCCGCGCGCGGACUCACCUCAAAUCCAUUGGCGGCCCCCGCGUCGGCCACGAGCGCAGCAGAAACGCGAACUCGUGAGCCCGUCCGGGCGGCUCCCAGAAGCUACACCCACCCAGUUUGACCUCGGAUCAGGUAGGGAUACCCGCUGAACUUAAGC
rnacentral:misc_RNA from 1 species